rnacentral:rRNA from 1 species
UAAUACGUAGGUGGCAAGCGUUGUCCGGAUUUACUGGGCGUGAAGGGCGUGUAGGCGGUCCAUUAAGUUUGGGGUGAAAUCUCCCGGCUCAACUGGGAGCGGCCCCCGGAUACUGAUGGACUAGAGGGGGGUAGAGGAAGGGCGGAAUUCCCGGAGUAGCGGUGAAAUGCGUAGAUACCGGGAGGAACACCGGUGGCGAAGGCGGCCUUCUGGGCCUACCCUGACGCUGAGGCGCGAAAGCGUGGGGAGCAAACCGGAUUAGAUACCCGGGUAGUCCACGCCCUAAACGUUGGACACUAGGUGUGGGGGGUAUCGACCCCCUCCGUGCCGUAGCUAACGCUUUAAGUGUCCCGCCUGGGAAGUACGGCCGCAAGGCUA